GGAGAUUUGGGGCCAUUUUGGGGUGAUUUGGGGUGAUUUGGGGGUUAUUUUGGGGGCGAUUUGGGGCCGUAGUUGUCGCAGAUCUGAAACGGUUUUGGGGUCGUUUUAGGGUCGUUUCGGUCCCACUGUGUCCAUUUGGGGUCAUUUUGGGGUUACUUUGUUUUUUUGGGGGGUUAUUUUGGGGUUAUUUUGGGGUGAUUUGGGGCCAUUUUUGAGCCAGAGUCAUCGCAGAUCUGAAACGGUUUUGGGGUCGUUUUAGGGUCGUUUUGGUCCUUCUGUGGCCAUUUUGGGAUAUUUUGGGAUUAUCUGGGGGUUCUUAUAGAGUUAUUUGGGGCCAUUUUGGGGUGAUUUGGGGUUAUUUGGGGUUAUUUUGGGGUGAUUUGGGGCCAUAGUUGUCGCAGAUCUGAAACGGUUUUGGGGUCGUUUUAGGGUCAUUUCGGUCCUACUGUGUCGAUUUGGGGUCAUUUUGGGGUUACUUUGUUUUUUUGGGGGUGAUUUGGGGUUAUUUUGGGGUGAUUUGGGGCCAUUUUGGGGUUAUUUGUGGUUAUUUGGGGUGAUUUGGGGUUAUUUUGUGGUGAUUUGGAGCUGUAAUUGUCACAGAUCUGAAAUGGUUUUGGGGUCGUUUUAGGGCCAUUUGGGGUGAUUUGGGGCCAUUUUGGGAUCGCAGUUGCUGCAGAUUGGAAAUGGUUGGUGGCCAUUUUGGGGCCAUUUCAGGCAAUUUUGGUCCAUUCAUCACCAUUUUCGGGCCAUUUUUGGAUUAUUUUUGGCGACUUUGUGACCAUUUUAGUCAAUUUUGAGGCCAUUCUGGCCCACUUUUGUCCAUUUUGGUGCCAUUUUAGGGUUAUUUCAGGCCAUUUUAGACAACUUUGGGGCCACUGUAGUCCGUUUUGGGGCGAUUGUGGUCCAUUUUUGCCCAUUUCAGGGUUAUUUGAGCCCAUUCUGGAUGAUUUUGGGGCUAAUGUGGUCCAUUUUCACCCAUUUUGGUGCCAUUCUGGGAUUAUUUGGGGCCACCCUGGACCAUUUGGGGGCUUUUCAGUCAAUUUUGGGUCCUUUUUGGUCCAUUUUUUUGUCCACUUCAAUGCUACACGCUCCAUUUUUGUGCCAUUUCAGACCAUUUUGGACCAUUCUGGGGACAUUUUUGUGCCAUUUUUCUGCCAUUUGGGCCAUUUUAGAGACAUUUUUGAGCCACUGCAGAUCAUUUUAGUGCAAUUUUUGUCCAUUUUUCUGCCAUUUCAGACCAUUCUAGUGCCAUUUUUGUCCAUUUUUCUGCCAUUUUUUCCCCCUUCAGGACAAUUUGGGGCCAACAUUUCCCAUUUUGGAGUAGGCUGGGACCAUUAUGGUGCCAUUUUUAUCAUUUUUUCUGCCAUUUUGGACCAUUUUGGAGCAUUUUUUCCCCUUUCAGGACAAUUUGGGGCCAUUCUUUCCCAUUUUGGGGCAGUCUGGGCCCCUUUUUGUGCCAUUUUUGUGCCAUUUUGGACCAUUUUUGUCCAUUUUUGUCCAUUUUCUGCCAUUUCUGACCAGUUUUCUACCAUUUUUUCCACUUUCAGGACAACUUGGGGCAACCCUUUCCCAUUUUGGGGCUGUCUGGGCCCAUUUUUGUCCAUUUUCUGUCAUUUCAGACCAUUUUUCUACCAAUUUUCCCCUUUCAGGACAAUUUGGGGCCAAUCCUUCCCAUUUUGGGGCAGUCUGGGCCCCUUUCUGUACCAUUUUUGUGCCAUUUCAGACCAUUUUUGUCCAUUUUUGUCCAUUUUUCUGCCAUUUCUGACCAUUUUUCUACCAUUUCUUCCCCCUUUCGGGGCUCGUUGUGGCCACCCUUCCCCACUUUGGGGCCAUUUCUCACCUUUUUGGCAUUNNNNNNNNNNNNNN
ensembl:lncRNA